UCCCAUUUUACAGACAUGGAAACAGGAGCUUCCCAGGCAUGUGUGAGUAAUUGCCCACAAGGAGCACAGAACCCAGCGUCAGGCCCUGCUGCCGGCCCCCUGCCUCCCUGUCUGCAUCCUCACUCCUGAGCAAGGCCCACUGGCAGGUGUUUCCUUUCUCCAAACAAGCAGAAGCCUGGAGGCAUCCUGCUCUGGCGCCUUUGCUGACUCUUCUAAUAAGGCUGUCUACAGGAUGAGAGACAAGAGGAAGAGAGAUGAAGAGAGGAAAAGAGACAGUGAGAGGAGAGACACCACAACCCUGCCCUUCUACCUGUGAUGCUUCCCCCACUCCACCCCCACCCCACCCCCAUGCAAGUGCUCCCAAGCAGUGCUACGGGCUCAAACCUGGCACCCUGCCCACGGUGAAGUGUGCACUCUAGCAGGCUAGCUUGCUCCCAGCCCCCUGUCGUUUGUAAUAGAGGUGGUUUUCCUUGGUCACGGCAUUUUAAUUCCUGCUCCUGUCAAGCAUGUCCUGCUAAAAACGGCCGGUGUGCCUGAAGUUCUGGGAAGAGUAUUUUGGUGGUGACCGCCUCCGCACUCGGGAACUUGCCAUGAGGGGGGAACAGCCAGGAGCAUCUGGUGAAAUGUUCGUGGUUUUAUUAGGGAAACACUCAGCAGAGAUGAUGCCUCACACUAGCCGGACAGAGAAAACUUGAGAGAUGAAGACAGAAAUGGAGAAAAACCUCUAAAGCACCACUUCACCACUCAUGAAGCUUCCCCCUACAGGUAGGAACUGGGGGCUUGAACCCAGGUCCAUAUGUAUGAUAACAUGUGCCCUCAGCUAGAUGAACCACCACCUGGCACCAUGUCAUCUGUAACUCUUGUCUGGCUGCAUCUUGCAUCUCAGCAAAGGCAGAGAAAAGCUUAUUGUUGAGGAGUGGAGAUAUUAUUUUAUCUUAAUGAAAGACCUGAGCACUGUUUAGCUUUGGCUUAUAGUGGUUCUGGGGGUUGAACCUGGGACCUCCCAGCGUUGGACAUGAGAGUUUUUAGCAGAACCAUUAUUCUGUCUCCCCAGCCCCGGAAUGGAGUUUUUUUGUUUGUUUGUUUUUUUGCCUCCAGGGUUAUUGCUGGGGCUUGGUGUCUGCACUACAAAUCCACAGCUCCUGGAGGCCACCUCCCCCCACCCCACCCCCUUUUUUGUUGUUGCUCUAGUUGCUGUUGUUGUUGGAUAGGACAAAGAGAAAUCAAGAGAGAUGGGGGAGACGGAGAGAGGGAGAGAAAGACAGACACCUGCAGACCUGCUUCACUGCCUGUGAAACGACUCCCCUACAGGUAGGGAGCUGGGGGCUUGAACCAGGAUCCUUGCACCAGUCCUUGUGCUUUGCACCAUGUGCGCUUAACCAGCUGUGCCACCAUCCGGCACCCUUUGUUUUUACUUUUCCUUUCUUUUCUUUUUUUUUUUUUUUUUAGUUGGGGGAGAAUAAUGGUUUAUAGUCAGCAGAAAAUAUAGAAAUACAGUUGUUGCUACAUGUGUAAAAUUUCUGUUUUCUGCAGAACACUGUCACCCUCAGCCUAGGUUCUCCUCCACCAUCAUGCACCAGGUCCUGAAAGUCUCCCCCCUCCAUCCCUACCCUAGUGCCCCUACCUAGUGCCCCUCUACCCUAGUGAAAGUUUUUUUUUUCCCCCCUUACAGGGUUAUUGCUGGGGCUCAGUGCCUGCACUAGGAAUCUACUACUCCUGGAGCCAUUUUUUUUUUCCAUUUUGUUGCCCUUGUUUAUUGUUGUUAUUGCUGUCAUUAUUGUUGGAUAGGACAAAAAGAAAUUGAGAGAGGAGGGGAAAACAGAGAGGGUGAGAGAAAGAUAGACACCUGCAGAUUUGCUUCACUGCUUGCCAAGCGACCUCCCUGCCGAUGGGGGCCGGGGGCUUGAACCGGGAUCCUCAAGCCAGUCCUUGCGCUUAGUGCCUUGUGUGCUUAACCUGCUGCUCUACUGCCCACUCCAGUGGAGAUUUUAAGAUGAACAGGCUUCCUGACCAACUUGUCAGUGCAAGAGUCAUGGGUGCAGAGAAACCCGGGCUGGGGAGGAGAGGUUGGACUGGGCAGGUUCCCCAGUGCUCUAACCUCUGUGGGUCCUGCCCUGUGAUGAGGACCAGGUGAGGAAAUAGGCAUUGGUUCUCACCCUGGGUGCCAAACAGUAAAUGACUGACAGGGAGGAAAAAUGUAAUUGGGAUAUUUGAAGCCUUGGGCUCCAUCCUGGAGAAGAGGAAGGAAGGAAGGGAGGGAGAGAAGAAGGGAGGGAGGGGUGUAAUUACUCAUCUUCCAGGUACCAUCAACAUUGCUGUGAAGACAUUUUACUGGUUUAAAAAUUAGAACAUGUGGAGUGGUGCAGUGGGUGGAGGCCCAGAGUUCAAUCGUUGGGACAACAAAUACACCAGAGUAAUGCUCUGACUCUCUCUCCUUUAGACACACAUUGUGGCCAGUGAGGUGGUGCUGUAGGUAAAGCACUGGACUCUCAAGCAUGAAAUCACAAGUUCCAUUCUCAGCAUCACUGUCUCAGAGUGAUGCUCUGGUUCUUUCUCUCCUCCCUCUUUCCUUCCCUCUCUUCUUUCCCUAUCUUUCAAAUAAAAACAAGCAAAUAAAUAAAUAGGUGAACACAAGUGUCAUAAGUUGCAUAAGUCAUUCUGCUGGCCCCUAUACAAGGAUUGUAUUUGCAUAUCAUCACUGGAACAGAAUUUAGUCUUUAACAAGUCCAGUAUGUCCUCGUGUCUAUGAUUUAAACAUAGAUGAAUGUUUCUCAUUGAAGAGAGAUGAAUACCAAAUGUUUACUAAACACAUUAUAAAUGACUUAGUAUUUCAGGAGAUUGAAAAUUGGACACCCUUUCCCACCCCACCCUUGUCUCCAAUGUCUGUGAGUGCCAGUUACUCAUGGUGUUAAUUCCACACGUACAGAUCUGUCAGUUUAUCAGGAUACAGCACAGGGUGGGGCAGUGCUGGGGGUGGGUGGUUCUGUAAGGAAUGGAAUCAGGGGUGGAGGAAACAGCAUAAUGGUGAUACAAAAGACUUUCAAGCCUUGGGCUCCAGGCUCCCAGGUUCAAUCCCCAACACCACCAUAAGCCAAGAUUGAGUAGUGCUCUGGUAAAAAUAAAAAUGUAAUAAUAAUAAUAGGCUUUUGCCCACACAUUAUCAUACAUGCAUAUUUUCACUUUUCUUGAAUAAAAGCUUAAAAUUUUCUGAAUAAAUAAACAAGAAAAAAAGAAGUGGAAUCAGAAGACUGGAGUUCUUGGGUUUCCUGAGCCACUUGUGACUACAAACAUGUUUUAAACUUACCUUCCUUUCAAAAUUAGCCCAGAGCAGAGGGAGAGCUCAGUGGUAGCACCAAGCUCUUAUGCCAGCGGCUCCAGGCACUGUCUCAGAGCUGAGCAGUGCUCCAGCCUCUCCACAAAAUCUUUAAAUAACAUGAAGAUAAGUGGCCAAGGAGGUGACACAGUGGGCAAAACAUUGUACUCUCAUGCAUGAGGUCCUGAGCUCAAUCCCCUGGUGUCUCAUGUGCUAGUAUGAUGCUCUGAUUCCCCCUCCCUCUCAA